AUUGAACGCUGGCGGCAGGCUUAACACAUGCAAGUCGAGCGGGGUGAGGUGCUUCGGUACUGAUCCUAGCGGCGGACGGGUGAGUAAUGCUUAGGAAUCUGCCAUUUAGUGGGGGACAACAUUCCGAAAGGAGUGCUAAUACCGCAUACGUCCUACGGGAGAAAGCAGGGGAUCUUCGGACCUUGCGCUAAAUGAUGAGCCUAAGUCGGAUUAGCUAGUUGGUGGGGUAAAGGCCUACCAAGGCGACGAUCUGUAGCGGGUCUGAGAGGAUGAUCCGCCACACUGGGACUGAGACACGGCCCAGACUCCUACGGGAGGCAGCAGUGGGGAAUAUUGGACAAUGGGCGGAAGCCUGAUCCAGCCAUGCCGCGUGUGUGAAGAAGGCCUUUUGGUUGUAAAGCACUUUAAGCGAGGAGGAGGCUACCUGGAUUAAUACUCUAGGAUAGUGGACGUUACUCGCAGAAUAAGCACCGGCUAACUCUGUGCCAGCAGCCGCCGUAAGAC
rnacentral:rRNA from 1 species